GUUUAAAUAGUUUAAAUAGAAUAACAAUUUGUGGAAUUGUAGGAGCCAGUUAGGCUUUGGACC
rnacentral:tRNA from 1 species